AAAAAAAUGGCACCGUAACUUCGGGAGAAGGUGCGCCGGUGAGGGUGAAGGACUUGCUCCGUAAGCCCACGCCGGUCGAAGAUACCAGGCCGCUGCGACUGUUUAUUAAAAACACAGCACUCUGCAAACACGAAAGUGGACGUAUAGGGUGUGACGCCUCCCCGGUGCCGGAAGGUUAAUUGAUGGGGUUAGCUAACGCGAAGCUCUUGAUCGAAGCCCCGGUAAACGGCGGCCGUAACGAUAACGGUCCUAAGGUAGCGAAAUUCCUUGUCGGGUAAGUUCCGACCUGCACGAAUGGCGUAACGAUGGCGGCGCUGUCUCCACCCGAGACUCAGUGAAAUUGAAAUCGCUGUGAAGAUGCAGUGUAUCCGCGGCUAGACGGAAAGACCCCGUGAACCUUUACUAUAGCUUUGCACUGGACUUUGAAUUUGCUUGUGUAGGAUAGGUGGGAGGCUUUGAAGCGUGGACGCCAGUUCGCGUGGAGCCAACCUUGAAAUACCACCCUGGUAACUUUGAGGUUCUAACUCAGGUCCGUUAUCCGGAUCGAGGACAGUGUAUGGUGGGUAGUUUGACUGGGGCGGUCUCCUCCUAAAGAGUAACGGAGGAGUACGAAGGUGCGCUCAGACCGGUCGGAAAUCGGUCGUAGAGUAUAAAGGCAAAAGCGCGCUUGACUGCGAGACAGACACGUCGAGCAGGUACGAAAGUAGGUCUUAGUGAUCCGGUGGUUCUGUAUGGAAGGGCCAUCGCUCAACGGAUAAAAGGUACUCCGGGGAUAACAGGCUGAUACCGCCCAAGAGUUCAUAUCGACGGCGGUGUUUGGCACCUCGAUGUCGGCUCAUCACAUCCUGGGGCUGAAGCCGGUCCCAAGGGUAUGGCUGUUCGCCAUUUAAAGUGGUACGCGAGCUGGGUUUAGAACGUCGUGAGACAGUUCGGUCCCUAUCUGCCGUGGACGUUUGAGAUUUGAGAGGGGCUGCUCCUAGUACGAGAGGACCGGAGUGGACGAACCUCUGGUGUUCCGGUUGUCACGCCAGUGGCAUUGCCGGGUAGCUAUGUUCGGAAUAGAUAACCGCUGAAAGCAUCUAAGCGGGAAACUAGCCUCAAGAUGAGAUCUCACUGGGACCUUGAGUCCCCUGAAGGGCCGUCGAAGACUACGACGUUGAUAGGUUGGGUGUGUAAGCGCUGUGAGGCGUUGAGCUAACCAAUACUAAUUGCCCGUGAGGCUUGACC
rnacentral:rRNA from 1 species